GCCGAUGUAGCUCAGAUGGUAGAGCAAUGGUUUCGUAAACCAUAGGUCAGGGGUUCGAUUCCCCUCGUCGGCA
rnacentral:tRNA from 1 species